UACGGAGGGUGCAAGCGUUGCUCGGAAUUAUUGGGCGUAAAGGGGAGGUAGGUGGUCUCAUUUGUCUGGGGUGAAAGCCUUGAGCUUAACUCAAGAAGUGCCCCGGAAACGGUGAGACUGGAGUCCUGGAGAGGGUCGUGGAAUUCCCGGUGUAGCGGUGAAAUGCGUAGAGAUCGGGAGGAACACCUGAGGCGAAGGCGGCGACCUGGACAGGUACUGACACUCAACUCCGAAAGCGUGGGGAGCGAACAGG
rnacentral:rRNA from 1 species